UUUUACCUUUUUAUUUUCCUCUUAAUUACAAAUUUCAUAAUCUUUCAAGUAUGGGGAUUUCCAACUUACAAAAUCACCACUUCUCCGUAAUUUAAUUAACCAAACUGCCCAAAUUAGGGUUUUGGAUCUCAUGACUUGUCAGCAAAACCCUUCACACUGGUUCUCUACCUUUGCAUUACUAAUAUGUAUAUGUCCUCAUCUUCCAACAGGUUAAGAUAAAAAGCCAUUUUUGCUUGGUUUAGAAACCGAUAGAUCCCAUUUUCUCCGAGGACGUCAGGAAGAAUUUAAUCAAAACUACAGGAGUGAGUUGCCCUGACUGCAAUCACGGGGAAGCUUCUCACCCAAGUGCACACCAGGUCAGCUGAUGAACCAAUGACAGUAUGCUACACAUGCACAAAGUGUAAACGCACUUGGACAGAAAACUAGAGCUUCUCUGCAUUCUUUCUGUAUAGCUGCUUCUUGUAUAUGGCUGACGACUGUUAUCCUUCAUGCUCGUUAGGCCAUAGUUCUUAUUUUGGAAAGUUUGUUGCUGGUAUCAGUGCAUGUAGCCUGAUGACCUUUAUAUUAUAUGCUUUCAACUUUUUCCCAUGUCUUACUGCCUACUGAAAAUUUUACAGCAGAAAAUGAAUAGAAAAGCUUGGUAAAAAAGCUGGUAUCACUCGUCAAGAUUGCAAUUUAUACUUUUAUGCAGCUAUUGUUUAGAUGAACUUGGUUGAAUUAUUUCGUGUUCUCAUGAACACAAUGAUGUAUCUUAUGAUAAGAGUCUGAUUUGGCACAAAAAAUUUCCUUGCAUUUUAUCUUCUACAGAGUAAAAAAAAAAAGCUCGUGUGUUAUUGACCUGCUAUGGGAAAGUAUACAGAAAGGGGCAAUUAUAUACAUUCUCGUACAAGAAGAUAUAGUUAGUCUCCAGCCCCUAAUAAUACCGGGUGGAAGACAAUCAGUUCUUGCCAGGAAGCCACAUCCAACGAAGGAGGUUCCAAAUCCAUCAUCGCCCAAAACAAAAAAGAAGAAGAUUUCGAAAAUAAGUAAAUCU